rnacentral:rRNA from 1 species
GACGAACGCUGGCGGCGUGCUUAACCCUUGCAAUUGUACCGUAAGGGCCUUUCGGGGGUGCACGGGUGGCGAACGGGUGAGGAAAACGUGAGUAAAGUGCCCACCACUUUGGGUUAACGCAAGGAAACUGGUGCUAGUACUGGAUAUGUGCUCCUGCCGUGUGGCGGGGGGUGGAAAGGUCCGGCGGGUGUGGAGGGACUCGCGGCCUAGCAGCUUGUUGGGGGGGUAGUGGCCUACCAAGGCGGGGACGGGUAGCCGGACAGGGGAGGUGAACGGCCACAUUGGGACUUAGAGACGGCCCCGACCCCUACGGGAGGGAGCAGGGGGGAAUAUUGCACAAGGGGCGCCAGCCUGAUGCAGCAACGCCGCGGGCCGGAAGACGGGCUUCGGGUUGUAAACCGCUUUCAGCAGGGACGAAGCUUUUUGUGACGGUACCUGCAGAAGAAGCACCGGCUAACUACGUG